rnacentral:rRNA from 1 species
CUACGGGAGGCAGCAGUGGGGAAUAUUGCACAAUGGGCGCAAGCCUGAUGCAGCCAUGCCGCGUGUAUGAAGAAGGCCUUCGGGUUGUAAAGUACUUUCAGCGGGGAGGAAGGGAGUAAAGUUAUUACCUUUGCUCAUUGACGUUACCCGCAGAAGAAGCACCGGCUAACUCCGUGCCAGCAGCCGCGGUAAUACGGAGGGUGCAAGCGUUAAUCGGAAUUACUGGGCGUAAAGCGCACGCAGGCGGUUUGUUAAGUCAGAUGUGAAAUCCCCGGGCUCAACCUGGGAACUGCAUCUGAUACUGGCAAGCUUGAGUCUCGUAGAGGGGGGUAGAAUUCCAGGUGUAGCGGUGAAAUGCGUAGAGAUCUGGAGGAAUACAGGUGGCGAAGGCGGCCCCCUGGACGAAGACUGACGCUCAGGUGCGAAAGCGUGGGGAGCAAACAGGAUUAGAUACCCCAGUAGUC